ACCACGUGACCAGACCCGGGCGGGCUGGAGUCAACCACAGGCCGGCAGCCGUAUCUGGUGGCUCUCCUCCUCCUCCUCCUCCAUAGUGAUCAGCAGAAUCCAAGCAGUGAAACCCAGAAGACUGGGAUGGGGAGUGAAAUCCAGAGCAAACCCAGAAUCCUCUGCCUCCACGGAUUCAGAACGAGCGGUGAAAUCUUCAAGAAACAGGUCGGAAAGUGGCCGGAGAGCGUUCUCGGACGGUUGGACCUCGUCUUCCUCGACGGGGCUUAUCCGGCCGCCGGCGAAUCCGAUGUUGAAGGCUACUAUGAUCCUCCCUACUACGAAUGGUUCCAGUACAGCAAGGAUUUUGGAGAAUACUACAACUUUGAUGGAUGUAUUGCCUACAUAGAAGAUUAUAUGGUAAAACAUGGCCCUUUUGAUGGUCUAAUGGGGUUUUCCCAGGGGGCAAGUAUUUGUGCAGCAUUGCCUGGAAUGCAAUUGGAUGGGGUGGCACUCACCAAGGUUCCCAAGAUCAAGUUUGUGAUUGUAAUUUCAGGGGGAAAGUUUGGAGGAUCAGAAAGGGUUUUGGGGAGCAAAUAUGAUGGAUUGAAGUUUGGGCUGCCAAAGCUGGCUGCUAAUGCAUUCUCAUCGCCAGUCAAGUGCCCUUCCCUUCACUUUAUAGGUGAGACAGAUUUCUUGAGGGCAACCGGGAGGGAAUUAGCAGAAUCAUUUGAGGAGCCAAUUUUUCUUCAUCAUCCCAAGGGCCACACAAUUCCAAGACUUGAUGAGAGAGGCUUGAAGACGAUGCACAGCUUCAUUGACAGGAUUGAGACUAUAGAAAAGUAGAGGAACUGCUCAAAUUAAGCCCAGAAUUGCUGUGCAUUAGCAUCUUCACACGCGAUUCGUCAACUGACGAGAAGAGCAUGCAGAUGAUGCUCGGCUUCAUCCAGAAGAUUGAAAAGAUGCAAUUGCACGGGGAAUAGAAUGGCAUGGCAGAUGUGCUUGGAUGCAGAUUGAGUGAGUGAGUGAUGGAUUGUAAUUUGUAAGUCCCUGUCUGCAAGCCGGGACACAUUUGGGAGAAAAGAAAAUGGUUGAACAGAAAGCAUGGAUGCUGCUAUAUCACCCAGUGAUGUUUUCUGUUUCACCAUCUUCAGUUUUUAUGAUUUCAUUUUACAAAAAAUUAAAAAAAAAUAAAACAUAAUUCAUUUCUAUUAAAUAUGAAA